rnacentral:rRNA from 1 species
GCCUAACACAUGCAAGUCGAACGAGAAAGUGGAGCAAUCCAUGAGUAAAGUGGCGACCGGGUGAGUAACACGUGACUAACCUGCCUUUGAGUGGGGGAUAACCUCGGGAAACCGGGGCUAAUACCGCAUAAUGCCUACGGGUUAAAGGAGCAAUUCGCUUGAAGAGGGGGUCGCGGCUGAUUAGCUAGUUGGCGGGGUAACGGCCCACCAAGGCGAUGAUCGGUAGCCGGCCUGAGAGGGCGCACGGCCACACUGGAACUGAAACACGGUCCAGACUCCUACGGGAGGCAGCAGUGGGGAAUUUUGCGCAAUGGGGGAAACCCUGACGCAGCAACGCCGCGUGGAGGAUGAAGUCCUUUGGGACGUAAACUCCUUUCGACCGGGACGAUAAUGACGGUACCGGUGGAAGAAGCCCCGGCUAACUUCGUGCCAGCAGCCGCGGUAAUACGAGGGGGGCAAGCGUUGUUCGGAAUUAUUGGGCGUAAAGGGCGC